UAGUCUCUGCUGAUGGGCCAGUACAUGUGUGGGCCCUGUUGCGUUUGUUAGACUCAAGGAGGAAAAGGAUCGACACAGGCGGAUCUCAUGGAGAGCUAGGGUUUGGUUUCGCUGCCGCCGCCGCCGCCGCUGCCGCCGGCCCAGCCCCCGGCGCCCUUCCACCCACUCCUUUGGCCGCUCACCCCAGCUCGCCUGUCCACACGCAGCACCAACCGAUGCUGGCUAUCCACGCACAACAGCAACCAGCGACGACAAUCGAGGCCACCAUUAGAUUAUCGCGCUCGGCCGCGACACCUGCUGGCUCUGGAUGCCCCCGCAUUUCCUCCCUACAGCAGGACACGCCGUGAGCAGGGCUGGAGGUCCUACAGCAGAGUGUUCGCUGCAGAGGAGCGAUGUGCCUCGUGGCCGGCUCCGAUGUCAAAGGCGCGAGCUAGGCAGCGAGGCCGUGAGGGUUCCCGUACGCCAAGGUAGGAGCGUGUGGUGGCGCUGCUGUUCUUGCAGUAUGGCAUGUGAGGCCCUCCCUACCCCGUCCAUAUCCACGAGGUGCCCCUGAGCUUCAUCUCCGCACACCCCCUCCCACAAGUUGCCGGACGGAUUGGCACGGCUGAUGGGGAUGGAAGCAUCGCGGCGGCAUGUAUGGAUGGUUUCCGUUCGUCCUAGGGUGGGUGCUUAGGACGCACUCCCCCUUCCGCAACCUUGACCUCGAUGGUGGAGUACACGACGACUUGCCAUCUACCUGUCGGCGCCCCUCUGCCGUCCCAAUUUCGGCCUCCAUCCAGGUCGGUUGAUCCUUGCCCUGAAGGUAUAGAUGGCCCCUCUCUCACACGAUAUUCCUACAGUAGAGAGAGAGAGAGGUCUCGCAUCCUGCUCCACUAGCAUGUCCCCUCCCCAGAACCACGAAGUCCUUUUUUUUUUAUUCCAUGCCACUGCUGAUGUGUGAUCUGCUGAUUGUUGAUUUUUUGCAUCAGGUUAUGCAGCAAAGUAACAUGUUUGAUUGAUUAUUAUUUAUACAUGAAGUGAAUGGUCUGGAGCACUUGGCCUUGAUUUAAUUCAAUAGCUGGGAUUGGCAGCUCACGGAACGCAUUCACUCAGUCACAAAUUAACGUUCUCCGAAUAAUUCUGAAUAUCUUCUCAAUUAGAUCAAAAUUUUAUGUAUUACUGCUCAUGGUGUCUGCUUACAAAUGUCUUUUGCUUAUAUCACAUAUUCAAUGUAAUGUAGUUGAAAGUUACUUGAAGAAUGUUGAGCCAAUGAAGUUUCUGCAGUUCACUGAUUAGCUUCUUAUUAUGUCACCGGAUGUGGAAACUUUUUUGAGCAAAUUCGGGAGGUGAGGCCCCUACCUGAACUUUCAUUAAAAAUUAACGAGUCACUAAGGCUUAAAAUGUUUACAACCACAGAGUACAGAGUAUAAAGGGGGCUAGGACAACAAGAUAGAAAAGGGAAUAUGCAAAAUGCAAGUUGAAACAUAAACCGGUCUUCAGAACUGUCAGUCCACAAUCCACAUUUUAGCCUCCUCUUUUUCUUUCUUUCUUUCUUUCUUCCUUCACCGUAUCGACACAUUGUCGAGCCACCACUGCUACCGGCACUUUGAUGUUGCCAACCAGAUGCUUCAGUAAAUUGCAGUAAUAACCAUAUUCCAGACGUAUUUUUUACCGUCUGAAACUUGCUCCUUGCUACCAAGUACAUGUAUUCUACAGCAGCGACACCAUUUAAAUGAAUUCCUAGGUAGCCCAAUAUUUUCUUGGUAUGCUAGCAAUAUGAAGCAAUGUGCUUCGUAUGCUGGAAAUAUUUGGGUUAACCUUUUGAGACAUUGGUCUUUAUUGAAGGUGGCCAUUCUUCAGCUUUGAACCUUAUAACCAUAUAUGUGCUACAACUUGAUUGAUGUGGGGUUGUCUGCGCGUACUCUCAGCUUACUUGUCGUUGUGAUAUCGGCCAUUUGGUUCAUGUUUUGAAUGAUUCAAUGCAUUCGUUCGAACUGGUGGGUCAGAUCUUUCUUAGUGUGGCCUCUAUGGGCGGAGCUGAAAAUAUGGUAGGCAACGGAGGUGGUGGCGUGCCAAAGGAGUGGAGGUGAGACACUAUUCGUGACAGCGGCAAGCAUCGUGACUUUUCUGUGACAUGACAAUCCUGGUUCAGGUGGGUCGACAUUUGAGUUGAACGGGUAAACGUCCAGUGGGCGCUGUGCAUUGGAUGUGGGGUUGUUCACGACAACCGGUGGCGCCAAGGACAACAUGAUAUUUCUAUCUUCUUUCGUUAUGUGCACCAAGCUACUCAAACCAAUAUGACCACCUAACUAAGCCAAACUGAUCUUCUGCUUAUGCCAUCAACAGAGAGUGCUUAAUAGUCAGCUAAUUAUGGUCCUCGCCGAGAAGCGCAAACGCUCUGUGGACACCGAGUGUUUUAUCAUCUGGUUCUGCUUCCUCAGGGGUGAAGCCACAUCUCCAACAUGCUCUGUGGCGAGAGAAUGAACAAGAAGGUUUGAGCAUACAGCUGUCUCUACUCUCCGAUUUAGUCAGACCAGGUUAGCAAGAUCAAAUCAGUUCUCUCCCAAAAUACUUCUCUAAUCAGUUUAUGCACGUACAUGCCUAUACUGUUGGAAUGCAAAUUCUACUAUCAAAGCCUUAUUAAUCAAUGCAAAACCAGUAGCAUCGUUCACUUAAAUUUAUUGAUAACACUAUUUGCCGGAAUUUGAGCAUCACAUUGCUAGCGGCCACAUGGCAGGAACUUACCAUCUGCAAUGGAGUUUUGAAGAUAGGAAAACAUCUAGCUAGGUCAGGACCUUUUCAAUUUAAGGCCUAAAAGGGCAACUUAAUCCCUAUGAUUAAUUAGAUCAGAAUCGGAAGUGUGAAGUAGUUUUUUUAAUAAAAGUGUGUGUGAAGUAGCUGAUGUACAAUGCAACUUCCGUUUAGCUUGAUCAGUUGAUGUUCAUGUACAUGUGCUAAAAUAUUUUCUUUGCCAUCAGACCUUUAUCAAGACAGAACAUACUGUGACAAACUGUGCUCACAUCAUCAUAUACUAGAAGGAUAUUCGUGUUAGGCCAUUAUUAAUUUCAUUCCUCUCACAGUUUUAUAGAUGGAUUGAUUGAUCAUUGACACCUCUGUUUCAUAUACGUGAUUUUCUUCUUUUCAACAUUGAUAAAAUGCGUAAAUCAUCAUUCGUUAUACACUCUUCAACUUCAUUCCUUAUUAAUGAUCCUUAAAUAUACUUUAUCUGUAGAAGUAAUAUCCAAAAAUCAGGACCUAUAAUGAUUAGUAUAGUACAAAUAGUGUUACAUACUUAAUAAUUUUAUCUCCUAUUUAAAUAAAGCAGGUAUUCUACACAUUACAACUUCAUUAAUUUUUAUCUCAAUUUUUUCCAUGAACAUCCACCGUAAGUGUUUCAGUGUAUGUACAUUCUUGCUCCACGAGUACAAAAAGAAAUCUCAACCUAGAAGACCAAUUUGAUAAUAUGUUGAUUCUUAGGUCACUUCUUACGUCAAGAUGAUGUUUUUUCCAUGUUCGUAUUGGAGUAAUUGAGAAGAUAACUAAUGGUGUGUUUUAUAGAUGGGUUUCUUUCUGGCAGAGAACAUGAACAUAUGGUAAUAGAGGGACCUUUAUUAGUCAUGUUGUGCAAGCAGUAUGUUUUAGUGAUAAUGGUAGAUUCCUUAUAAGUUGUAUUGGUUGAUUUAACUUGCUAUAUUCAGUUUGGCUUGGUUGUGUGGUCAUAUUGGCCGAGUAUUUUGGUGCUCACAAGCAUGUAAAUUUUGUGAUUUUAAUAGCAGACCACUUCAUCUCAGAUUGUUGAGGAAGUGGGCUGAUGUGUUGAUGUUUCUCUCAAUCUAAAGCUACGGUACAGUAUCGAGUGCUAUCUCAAUAGAUUCCACCAGUUGAAACUCCAUCAUAGCAUGUAGUGAAUGUUUGCAAUGUAGCAUUUGAGAUGUAUAUGCACUUAUUCUUUUACUUAAAAUCUGUAGCAUGUGAUAUGCAGCUUAGUUCAGCAGUGGCACUGUUCUCAGUUGAAUGCAUGGUAUGAUUCAUGUAAUGCAAUCUAUGUUCCUUAUUAGGACAUGGCUGUGCAACGUUUUCCAGGUUGUGUCUGUUUUCACGAAUGAGCUGAAAAUAUUUGCUACAAAUGCUCGAGUGGACAUCGUUGGUCGGAGCUACUGCUACGGCAAGGAGUCCUCUCGCUGGAGUCGGUCUGCUAGGCCGGGUUCCUCCUAUCUGUUGCUGCUGCAGAGAGUCUAAGUUUGUUUGUUCGCUUCUUAUCUCCCAUCUUUUUUUUCUUAUGUUUACCUUUAUUUAUUUUCUUAUUUUUGCAUUGGUUCAUCUAAGUGGAUGCGUUGUUUCUUUGUAUUCUUUAUCUGCAGUUUGACUGAAUUUCCCACAAAAUACACCUGGUAUUCGCAUGGAAAGAGGUGGGUGAAGAGGAGAUGUGGUUUUAUGUUGGGGAGAAUUUGGCCUGUGCAUCGGGUCUACCGAAGAGUUGUUCUGUAUGCGGGUGUUGCUUAUGGCUGUUCUUAGUGCAAGCAGUUUUGAGGAUGCAGGCAUCACGUGAGCUUUACCCAUGUUACAUACUAUGAAACGUGUCAGGCUGGGGGUCUUUAGGAUGAUGACAGUGAGUGGUCGCGAUUGUUUACUGUGACUGUUGUGUGGGCUAGACCACCUCAGCCCAGGCAUCUCUUUGUCACCAUCUUGAUGUAUUGUGAUGUGGGAGAAGCUCCGCAGCCCUUUGAGAAGUAAUGGAGGUACUUGGUUGAUGACAUCAUUUAUGUUCAGAGGCAGUCACAGCGGAAUCAGCACUACAACAUGCCUUGCAGCUUUGCAGUGGAGACAUCUUCUCAAGGAGCAUGGCCAGCACUACAACAUGCCUUGCAGCUUUGCAGUGGAGACAUCUUCUCAAGGAGCAUGGCCAGUUGUUUGCUAAUAAUAACGGGCAUGCUCUUGCUUCUUAUAAUCUCAUGAUGUUUGUGUGCCAUAUGCUCAGCUGAUGGCAAAUGGCAUCCUUAUCUUCACCUGUGGCGGUGACUCGGCCAUGGAAGCAGGGUGUAUCUUUGGCUGUGACGGAUGUGAGAAGACGGCGGAAGACUUCCGUAAGUUGCCUUCUCAUAACGAGCUCCAACAACAAUAGCGAGCUCCAAGAACUGAAGCAUCUGUUAGUUUAGAGUGUUGACAGGGUGACCAUUUUUGGCUUCAUAAUUUCUGUUGUUACUAUGCAUACCAGUGUUUGCUUUGUUAUCUGUGUUAACCACAUUGUCCUAUCACAAGUCCAGUCGAAAAUCUAUAUUCACCGCCUGUAAUGAAUCAGUUUUUCAUCAAACUUUUUCAGUUCUUUAUGUUGCGAUUCA